rnacentral:lncRNA from 1 species
ACCCCGCUUAAGUGCUUCCUCAUGGAAGUAUUAGAAUUGAUCACUGAAGGGCCAUGUUAGCUGUGUGAGUUUAUGAUAUGAUCCAUGUUCUUCUUUCUUUGUAAUAAUAUCAUGUGGAUCUGUGUCCUAUAUUGUUGCUUCUGUUUACCUUAGGCGUAGGUCAUAUGUACCUAUUAGGAUGACGAAUAAGAGACAGUGUCCUUCAAAUCCUUGUGAUCAUUUUGAGUUCUCUAUGUAUCUUGAUGUCUGCUUUUCCUUUAUUAAUUUCAUGUUUAGAAAAUUUCUUUUCGAGACAUCUAAUUCAGAUAAUCAAAUGGCUAAAAGAGGUUCUCAGCUUUGGUACUUCAGCUUUAUGUUAUUUGAAAAUGAAAGGUUAGGUGGCUGCAAGAGUUUUCCACGGAAAAUUGAGAAUUCAUACACAAGACAUCCACAAGAGCAUGUUGAACGAAAAAGGCUUAGGAUUAAAAUAAUUUAUCAACUUGAUUUGAUUAAGGAUUCAAAAUAUUUGAGAUUGAUAAUCAAGAUAAGAUUAAGAAAUUUUUACCUGCAUUCGUCACUCUCAAAGUUAUGACUUUUAAGCACCACCCUCAACUUCUUGAUGGUGCAUGUUAUAUAUAUAUAUAUAUAAACAGUAAAUAAAUUCAGUAUGUUUGGCCAUGGUCGAGACGGAGUGAAAUGAAAACAACAACACAAGUAGCUUCUCCACUUUCACGCUUACGCAUAAACAUUUUCACCUAUGCAACACUUCUUUUCUAUGUUGGAUAAUUAGUUAAUCUUUUCAUUCUAGUAAUCUAAUUUAUUUUCCUUGAUAAAAAUGGUUGGUAGCUAAUGAUUGGUGUCUAGUAGACCAAAGUCCUUUUGAGUGUGCCUUCUAACUCUUGUAUACCAAAUAGGAUGUUUUCUAGCCCUAUCUAUUAAGGACACUUUCUAGCCCUCAACCAUCAGAUAGUACGUUUUCUAGCUCUAUUUUUUUUCCUUUCUAGUAUGCUUUCUAGCUCUUGUAUACUAAAAUAGUGCGCUUUUUAGCCUUAUCCAUUAAAUGCACUUUCUAGCCUUACCUCUAUUUCCUUUGAAUGCAUCUUUGAACCCUCAUCUCCCUAAUAGUAUGCAUUUUAACCCUAUCUAUAUCUCUUUUGGGUGUGCUUUGGAACACUCAUCUCCCUAAUAAUAUGCUUUCUUGCCCUAUUUGUUACUGAGCAUGCUUUUGACCCCUCACUUAUAACACUUUCAAAAGGAUUGAUCAUUUUUGAUAUGGUAAAUCCACAAUCUCCCAUUCUUUUUUCUUCUUUAAAAACUUAGUAUCAAAAGUUUCUUAUGAAACUUUCUAUCAUAAGACUUGUAUAGAGGGAGCAAUUUUCAUGACCCAUUUACCUUUUCCUUUCAAAAUAUAAAUAAAAAAAAAACAAUAAUAAUAAUAAGACUGCUAGUUUGGCAAAGCAGGCUAAGGAAGGUUUCAAAUACGUAUAAAAAUCAAGCUGGAAUUUUGGAUGGGCCAAUAUGAUUUAAUCAUGGGCCAAAUUAAAAGUUUAAUUAUGUUUAGGAAUUAAUUUGGGUCAAAUUAAAAUAUUUAAUUAGAUGCAAGGACUUGAUUAUAAUUUUAAAGGGUCAAAUUCAUUUUAUUAGAGACUUAAUUGGUGAAAAAUUAAGUUUGAGAGCCUAAUAUGAGCUUAAUCAAGAAGAAUAAAAUUUUAGAGGGCCAAAUUUAAUUUUUAUGAAGUCAAUUGAUUGAAAUCAAGGAUAAAAUAGCAAGGAAAUCAAAGUUUAGGAUCAAUUAAGGGUUAAAUUGAACAGAUUUAUAACCAAUGACCUUUUUGAAAAAGACGUUAAACUUUAGGGACUCAAUUAGUUUGAAAACAAUGGUUAAAUUGAAGUAAAUUGAAAGUUUAAUGGUUAAUUGAGGGUCGAUUUGUAUAAAUCUAAAAUCAAAGAUCAAAAUGAAAAAGACGUUGAAAUUCAGGGUUGGUAUUGGAGUUCGACAAGGGUAAAAUCACAUAAAAUUAAAAGUUUGAGGUCAAUUCGGGAUGCAAUUAAAAGAAAUCAAAAGUUAAAGGACUAAAUUAAACUUUAGUCAAAUCGCUAAUUAAAAUCUUAAGAAAAUAAAACGGUGUCGUUUCACUUAAAUGAAAUGAUGCAUUUUGACCAAAACAGUUUGUUUUGGUACAAAACAACAUCGUUUUGACUAGCACAGGAACAAAAAAAAAAAAAAGAGGCGUCAGACAACUUGUCGUCUGGUUGUUGUUCAUCAUCUUCAACCUUUUGUACCAGAAAGGCUGCUUGGGUGGCUAUUUUUUAGAGCAUUUAAUGCUUUGUCUCUCCACUAAAUCGGACAAACCAUACACCAUUAUAAUGGUUUGACAUUGUACUACACCCUAGCGUAGUUCUUGCUGAUUAAUUGCCUUUACAAUUGUUACGGUGUAGCCCUAAAAAGACUAACCCGAUCAGCCUUUAUCAGCCGAUUCUAGCAGCUCAUUAUGAUAACUUUGAGCCAACAAUUGAGAUCAUUUUCGAUUGAAUCAAAAGCCAAGAAUGGUCCCUAUUAAAAACAAGAUGUCUUUCUUUCCCCCUAUAAAUAGAAAUGAAUUUCAUGCAUUAAGGAGCAAGAGAGAAGAGUGCAAAGUGAGCAAAACACCAGAUUUUUUAGCAUUUUCAACAUUGUUUUCUCUUCGUAGUCGUUACAAACUUCCUCUUUGUUGUGAAUCCUAGCAACUUCAGCAUCUACACCAUGAUCAACAACAACCCAACAUACUUAUAACUCCAUCUUCUCAUUAGCAAUAGGGGUAAUCUCAUUGACGCCUAAUCUCUUCCUUUAGCAGCAAUAUCCAUUUCAAACCAGUCUCUUUGUCUUUAGUUUCUCCACCAACAGCUCCAUUGUGAGCUGUUAGUAACAACCCAUCCAACCAAGGUAAGCUUCUUCAUCCUUCCUCCCCUGUAAUUUUAUACAUGUAUAGAGGACAUUUAUUAAUUAAUGUCCUAUAAGUGUUGGCUUUCGUCAGUAAAUAUAAGUUGGGUUGGACCCGUUUCAACCCAGCCCACAUGGCUGAGCCGGGUCCAACUCAUUAAAAAUAAAUAAAAAAGUAGAAAGGAUUGUUGGGCUUACAGUUGGCCCAAAAAUAUACUAAUAAAAACAUGGUUAUUAGUAGCACCCCUAACUAAGAGUGGUGAUGACCAAUCACAUCCAUCCCUUGAAAAUUAAUGCAUUUAGCAUUGCAGAGAUUACAUCUAUCCUUAUCCUAAGAUACGUUUUGAAAAGCCUUCAGAUAUCACUUAGAGAGAAUAAAUAGUCAUUUUGAAUAAAUCAUUUAUAUUCAUGAAACUUAUAAUUUUUUCAAGGAUUAUACAUAUUGAGGUGACCUAAGUGAUAGGUAUGAGAGAGGUUCUUGGUGGUGUAACCAAACAACUCUUCAAUAACACAUUCUGUAAAAUGUUUCCUAAACGCAUAUGUUAAAAGGGGUUUGAAACUAAAAUUCUAAAGUUUGGCAGACAAGGAUCUAUUUGUUAAUUUUUUUUUUCCAAUAAUUGGAUCUUUUAUCAAAUAUUAUUCUGAUUAUGAAAUUUACAAGCUCCAAUAAGCAUAAAUAUAUCGGUAGAGGAGAGAGAGAGUUUGAUGAUAUUAAUUGGAAAUUAAGAUAAAAGACUUUUAAUAAGUCAAAUAAAUUUUCCAACCUUCAGGCAAAUUAAUUAGCUUAGAUAAUGUUGAAUAUUAUGAUAACAAUUAUUUUUCAAAGUAUUUUUUAUUUAAAAAUUUAUCAAAUAAUUUUUUAUUUUGUUAUUUAAAAUUUAUUUUUGAUAUCAGUACAUCAAAUAAUUUAAAAAUAAAAAUAAAAAAUAACUUUAAACAAAAACUUAAAAUUAAAAAAAUAAAUUUUUUUAAAAAAAACACGAUUUGAAUGCAAAACAAACAUACCUAAAUAAUUGAAUUUGGAAACCAAUAUAAAAUGCAUUCAGUCAAAUUGUUUUUGGCAGUGCUCUUGGAUAUAACCCUUCGAAUGAAACUCGAUACAUCCAAUAACGAUCAUUCAUUACUUAUAUUAAAUCUAUAUAGAAUAUUGAUGACAAUAUGUAUUAAUUAAUAAUGUGAACUAAAAAACUUAUUGGUACUUAAUUAAUUAGCCAUAAUUGGUUUAGUUCAAACUUAUUCAAUCUAUUUUAAUAGUACCUUUCAAACAUUAUUAAUUUUCUAAAAAUUUUGGCUUCUCUAUAUUUGCUGAAAUUUUCAACUUAACAAUAAAAUUGACAAAAUAAAAAACAUACUUAUUAAAUAAGCCAUUGUUUAUUUCAUACAAAUUACAUAAAUCACAAAAUCAAACUCAAUUUCAUCAAAUUACAAACAAAUACAAUGUUUGAAAAUUUCAAACAAACCCUAACAGUACAAAUCAUAUAUUCAUAUAAUAAAUUUCUAUAGGAAAAAGCUAUAUAACAAGUAAACACAAAAGUAAACUACAUAUUCUAUAUCAAAAUGACAAAAAAAUUAACAUUUUAAAAAUGGAUUACAAAAAAACAAAAAAGUAGUUUUGCUUACUUGAUGUGGCCAUUUUUUUUAAAAAACAAAACAAAAAACAAAAAAAAAGAAAGAGAGGGGGUCAUUUGUCAGGUUAUAACUUAAAUAUUAUUGAUGGAUUCCUUGAUACAAAUUAGCGAUGGUCAUAUUUCUUUGAUAAUUCCGCCUGUAAUAAUAAACAUUAUUUUUCUUUUUAUUUCCUUUAUUUUCAACAGUUAUUCUCUAGGUAUACACCAACAUAAAAUUUCUCUCGUAAAUAUCAAAGGACUUAGUGAGAAGAUGCUUUGUCGAUAAAUAUUACUAUAAAUUAUCGAUGAGUUUUUUUAUUAAUAAAUCUAUUUAUAUUUGAUAAUAUUUUGAUAGUGUAACCAGACAGCUCUUCAAUAACAAUGUUCUGCCAAAUGUUUCCUAAACACAUAUGUUAAGAAGGGUUUCAAAUUAAAAUUCUAAAGUUUGGCAGACAAUUAUCUAUCCCUGAAUUUAUGGCCACUAAUUGGAUCUUACUAGCUCUAAUAUAUAUAUACAUCUAGGAUAGGUUGACAGAGGAGAGAGAAAGAGUGGAAAUUAAGAUAAAAUAAUAAGUCCAAUAAAUUUUCCAAUCUUCAGUCAAAUUAAUUAGCUCACAACACUAAGAUAAUGUUUAAUAUAAUGAUUUUAGUUGUUUUUAAUAGUAUUUUUUUUAUUUAAAAUUAUAUUAAAAUAAUAAUUUAUUUUCGAUAUUAGUACAUAAAAAUAAUAAAAAAUUUAAAAUUUUCCAUUUAAAACAAAAACAAAACAAAAAUGCCAGAUUGUUGAAAUUAAAACGAAUAUAAAAUGCAUUCAGUGAUGCUGAGAGAGAGAGGUAUUAAGAUUUAAGAAUGUUAUUUUGAAAGGACUUCUACCCACCGCCGUUUACUAUUAUCAAAUACGAUGAAAAUGUCAAAACUCAAAGAGUAAGAAAUUGGGUACUUCCUUUCUGAUUAAGUAAUCUUGAUCCCCAUAACUCGAUAAAUAGGCAUGCAGAGAACCUAGAAGCAGCACAGCACUUCAAAGUUGCUUACGAAUAUUCAACAGAGCAAAUAGGCAGAAGUGAUAAAUACUUGUGAUAUGGCUGAAGUUAAGUUGCUUGGAGCAUGGGGAAGCCCUUUUAGUCGCAGAGUGGAGAUGGCUCUUAAAUUGAAAGGUGUUGAAUAUGAAUACAUAGAAGAAGACUUAGCUAACAAGAGCCCUUUGCUUCUCAAACACAACCCCAUUCACAAGAAAGUCCCUGUCCUCCUCCACAACGGAAAAACAAUGGCAGAGUCGCUUGUGAUUCUUGAGUACAUAGAUGAAACUUGGAAGAGCAACCCCAUCUUACCUGAAGAUCCUUAUGACAAAGCCAUGGCUCGAUUCUGGGCUAAAUUCAUCGACGAGAAGGUAAGACCAUUAAUUUCUUCAGUUUUUCUUUAAUUAAAAUAAGCAGCUUACGUACUACAUAUAUACUAUAAUACUUGUAUUGAAUAAAAAAAGGAGGAUGAAGAAAAAAAUACAACUCAAAUUCGGUUUUGAAUUUCCCUUUCUAUAGUGUAUGCCUGCAAUAUGGCAAAUCAUGUGGUCUAAAGAGAAUGAACGUGAGAAGGCCAUAGAAGAAGCGAUUCAGCACCUGAAAACUUUGGAAAAUGAGCUCAAAGACAAGAAAUUCUUUGGAGGAGAGACAAUAGGGCUGGUAGACAUUGUUGCCAAUUUCAUAGGCUUCUGGUUGGGAGCCGUUGAAGAAGCUACUGGGAUGGAGUUGGUGAAUAAAGAGAGGUUUCCCAUACUUUGUAAAUGGAUUGACGAGUAUGUCAACUGUAGCGUCGUCAAAGAAAAUAUUCCUCCUAGAGAUAAAUUGAUAGCUUUUCUGCGAUCCCACUUGAGUGCUUCCUCUAUGAAGUAUUAGAAUUGAUCACUGAAGGGCAAUGUUAGCUGUGUGAGUUUAUGAUAUGAUCCAUGUUCUUCUUUCUUUGUAAUAAUAUCAUGUGGAUCUGUGUCCUAUAUUGUUGCUUCUGUUUACCUUAGGCGUAGGUCAUAUGUACCUAUUAGGAUGACGAAUAAGAGACAGUGUCCUUCAAAUCCUUGUGAUCAUUUUGAGUUCUCUAUGUAUCUUGAUGUCUGCUU